rnacentral:rRNA from 1 species
GAUGAACGCUGGCGGCGUGCCUAAUACAUGCAAGUCGAGCGAACAGACGAGGAGCUUGCUCCUCUGACGUUAGCGGCGGACGGGUGAGUAACACGUGGAUAACCUACCUAUAAGACUGGGAUAACUUCGGGAAACCGGAGCUAAUACCGGAUAAUAUAUUGAACCGCAUGGUUCAAUAGUGAAAGACGGUUUUGCUGUCACUUAUAGAUGGAUCCGCGCCGCAUUAGCUAGUUGGUAAGGUAACGGCUUACCAAGGCGACGAUGCGUAGCCGACCUGAGAGGGGGAGUGGGAACACACGGAAUGUGACACGGGCCCGAAUCCCUAAGGGGAGAGACAGAGGGAAAUUUUCGCAAAGGGGGAAAAGUUGAAGGGGGAAAGCCGCGCGAGAGAAGAAAGGUUUUGGAUUGUAAAACUCUGUUAUUAGGGAAGAACAAAUAUGUAAGUAACUAUGCACGUCUUGACGGUACCUAAUCAGAAAGCCACGGCUAACUACGUG